rnacentral:rRNA from 1 species
UACGAAGGGGGCUAGCGUUGCUCGGAAUGACUGGGCGUAAAGCGUGCGCAGGCGGUUAUGUAAGACAGUUGUGAAAUCCCCGGGCUCAACCUGGGAACUGCAUCUGUGACUGCAUAGCUAGAGUACGGUAGAGGGGGAUGGAAUUCCGCGUGUAGCAGUGAAAUGCGUAGAUAUGCGGAGGAACACCGAUGGCGAAGGCAAUCCCCUGGACCUGUACUGACGCUCAUGCCCGAAAGCGUGGGGAGCAAACAGG